rnacentral:lncRNA from 1 species
AAUUUUUUCUCUCAAUCGAUUCAGAGAUUUUCUCUCGAUGAAUCACCUCCCUGAUGAGAAAUCGGACGAUUUUCCAUGAAAUCUCCGACGAUUUCGUGAAUUCCUUCUUCUCUUUUCUUGUUUUCAACACAUUCGACCUAUCAAAUCCGACGAUUUCGUCGAUUACAACUCCCAUAAUGAAUAUUUUCCGAUUAGGGUUCAUAUCUCCCCUGAUUCUUCGAUUACUAUCACAGAUAAGUUCAUGCAUGCACUUAUUCUUUCUUUUCCUGGUUUUCCCUUUUAAAAUCCAAUUCAAAGUUGUAGAUUUGUAGUUUUCAAUUUCGUUUGUUACAUGGGGAUCCGUGUGUUGAGUUUUUGACACCUACUAGUCUAUACAUAGGGUCCCUUUUCUAAGAUUGGAGCAGUAUCCUAACAUCGAGCAACAUGCAGUCUCCUAGCAUCGA